ensembl:misc_RNA Metazoa_SRP Metazoan signal recognition particle RNA
GCUGGGUGUGGUGGUGCGUGCCUGUUGUCCCAGCUCUUCUGGAGGCUGACGCUGGAGGAUCUCUUGAGCCCAGGAGUUCUGGGCUGUCGUGCACUAUGCCAAUCGGGUGUCCGCACUAAGUUCGGCCUCAAUAUGGUGACCUCCCGGGAGCGGGGGACAACCAGGUUGCCUAAGGAGGGGUGAACUGGCCCAGGUCGGAAACAGAGCAGGUCAAAACUCCCGUCUCCCAUGCUGAUCAGUAGUGGGAUCACGCCUGUGAAUAGCCACUGCACUCCAGCCCGGGCAACAUAGGGAGACCUUGUCUCUU